CCUCGCACUUAACCAAAUUAAACUUCGUUUUCCAGUCAUCGGCCCACAUUCCUAGAUGAUCAAGGUACCCCUGGAAAUUGUGAUGGCCACAUACACCACCUAUGAUGUCAGCUUCUGUGUCAUCUGUAGACCUAUGCACCGUGCCUUGUACAUCUUAGACGUUGACAUACACUCAGUGGCCUCUUUAUUAGGUACACCUACUCGUUGAUGCAAUCCUGUGGCAGCAACUCAAUGUAUGCAGACGUGGUCAAGAGGUUCAGCUGUUGUUCAGACCAAACAUCGGAAUGCGGGAAGGAAUGUGAUCGAAGUGACUUUGACCGUGGAAUAAUGGGGUGCUGCCGAGCGAAUGGACCAUGAGGGCCCUCCCCCACCGCGCCAUCAGCAAGUCUUGCGUGGUGAUCCCCUGCUCUUUCGACUUCCCCUCGAACCCUUACCAGUCCAUCCACGGGGCCUGGUUCAAGUACUGGUAUUGCUGGAAGUACACUGUGUGUUACACAAAAAACCCCGACUACAGGAUGUCCGAAUUUAAGGGGCGAGCUAAGAUUGUUGGAAACCUGAGCGAGAGGGACUGCUCGCUGAGGAUCGAUAACCUCAGACGUUCAGACAGUGACGUCUACUUCUUCUACGUGGAACUGGAAGGGUUCUACUCUCACACCUAUAAACCACCCGUCCAACUCCAGGUUCUUGGUGAGACUCUUUCCAUAGAAAUACAGAAGAUCGUAUUGGUACAUGGCUCCUUCAUGUGAUCACAUUUCACUACUAAAACCACUUUUUUGGUGUUAGUAUUGAGAUAUGAGACCCAGGGGCAGGAUUAGGCCAUUCAGCACAUCAAUUCUGCUCCACCGUUCCAUCGUGGCCGAUCAUUACCCCUCUCAAUCCUGUUCUCCUGCUUAUCAUAACCUUUAACACCUUUAUUAAUCAAGAACCUCUCGACCUC